rnacentral:lncRNA from 1 species
AUAUAUUUAGUAAUUUAUGUAUUUGUAACAUAAAUAAAGAAAUAUUUUUUCAAAUAAAUAAAUUAUUAAGAAUAAAAAAAGAGAAGAAAAGGAUUAAACAUUGCUCAUUUGGGAUAAGUCUUGGGUAAUAGUUGGAGAUGCUUUUUAGUUUAAUGUAAAAUUUGGUGUAAAAUGGUGCAAAACUUACCUCAAAUUUCGGUGCAGGUUGGAGAUGACCUUAGGCAUCUAAUAAGUGUGUGAAAACACGAUUAUCAAACACCCCAAACUUAAGAUCUUGUUCAUUUCAAGCAAGAUUAUCUACUAGCACAAUCCAACAGUAUGUGAUAAAGAUCAACAAUAUUAGAUAACUUGUAAAAAUAUCCACAAGUGUAAAAUUGUAUAGUCUCUAUUUGGUGGGGAUUAAAAUUUGAUUUUUAGUAGAUUUUGAAAAAAAUUGAUGAAAUGUGUGGGUGAAAAGUUGUGGAUCCAAUAAAUAUGUGAUUAAAAUUAAUUGUUGACUUUGACUUAGAUUAAAAUUUGAAUUUUGGUCCCUACCAAAUAAGGGCACAAUCAAUUUACAAAUAUGCCUCCAAAUAAUGCCCCAAAAAACAAAUUGAGUUUAUCCAAUAUUUGAUCAACAUGUGCAUACAUAGUCAUUUUCAAUCAUCACCUAAACUUGGAAAAAUUGUAAAGAUAGAAAAUUUUUCAAAUCGGUGUCAACUCGACCCUUAACGACCAUUUCUUUCUGUUAGAAUUUGGGUGUGGCCCGAAUUUAUUGUUGAAGUAAUUGAAGUGCAUGUCAAGAGGAACUCAAUUUUGGAAUGCUUUUGGAAUCACAUUCGAAAUUUAUUUGACAAAUUCUAAUUCAAAUUCUAUUUGGAAGUCCUAUUAAGAGUUGGAGCUUGUAUUGGACUUUAAGAGAUCAAGAUAAGAAAUUUUGGAGCAUUCUAUUUUAUCUACAACUCUACAUCUAGGGCUUGGAUUGUGUGUGUGUGUGUGUGUAUAUAUAUAUCUUCUCUGCAAUUUAGUAUGAGGAUAGUUUAACCUCAAAGAUUAUUGGAACUUUAGAUUCAUUGUGAG